rnacentral:rRNA from 1 species
AUACGAAAGGUGCAAGCGUUGUUCGGAUUUACUGGGCGUAAAGAGAUCGUAGGUGGUUUGUUAAGUCGGAUGUGAAAUCCCGGGGCUCAACCCCGGAACUGCAUUCGAUACUGGCAGACUAGAGUUUGGGAGGGGUAAGCGGAAUUCCGUGUGUAGCAGUGAAAUGCGUAGAUAUACGGAGGAACACCUGAGGCGAAGGCGGCUUACUGGACCAAUACUGACACUGAGGAUCGAAAGCGUGGGUAGCAAACAGGAUUAGAUACCCUUGUAGUCC